UACGGGGGGGGCAAGCGUUGUUCGGAUUACUGGGCGUAAAGGGCGCGUAGGCGGCCACCGCAAGUCGACUGUGAAAUCUCCGGGCUUAACUCGGAAAGGUCAGCCGAUACUGCGGGGCUAGAGUGCAGAAGGGGCAACUGGAAUUCUCGGUGUAGCGGAUGAAUGCGUAGAUAUCAAGAGGAACACCUGAGGUGAAGACGGGUUGCUGGGCCGACACUGACGCUGAUGCGCGAAAGCCAGGGAGCAAACGGG
rnacentral:rRNA from 1 species